rfam:Lupinus angustifolius cultivar Tanjil contig_6776, whole genome shotgun sequence.
AGGUGAAUAUGAUGAAAGAAAAUACAAAAAAAGAUGAGUGAUUAUCGAAUAUUAUAUAUUUGAUAUGAUCAAUUUGUAUCGCUACGUUCUUUCUGAUUCGUCU